rnacentral:misc_RNA from 1 species
GAGUCGUAACAAGGUCUCCGUUGGUGAACCAGCGGAGGGAUCAUUACAGAGUUGCAAAACUCCCAAACCAUUGUGAACGUUACCUAUCCCGUUGCUUCGGCGGGCGGCCCGGGCCCCGCGCCCGGCGCCCCCCGGCCCCCCGUGGGCGCCCGCCGGAGGUAAACCAAACCCUUGAAUUGCAUGGCCUCUCUGAGUCUUCUGUACUGAAUAAGUCAAAACUUUCAACAACGGAUCUCUUGGUUCUG